UACAGAGGGGGCAAGCGUUGUUCGGAUUUACUGGGCGUAAAGGGCGUGCAGGCGGUUUGUUAAGUGCAGGGUGAAAGCUCCCGGCUCAACUGGGAGAGGUCCUUGCAUACUGGCGAACUCGAGGGAGGCAGAGGAAAGUGGAAUUCCCGGUGUAGUGGUGAUAUGCGUAGAUAUCGGGAGGAACACCUGUGGCGAAGGCGGCUUUCUGGGCCUUACCUGACGCUGAGACGCGAAAGCGUGGGGAGCGAACCGG
rnacentral:rRNA from 1 species